GACGAACGCUGGCGGCGUGCUUAACACAUGCAAGUCGAACGGAAAGGCCCUGCUUUUGUGGGGUGCUCGAGUGGCGAACGGGUGAGUAACACGUGAGUAACCUGCCCUUGACUUUGGGAUAACUUCAGGAAACUGGGGCUAAUACCGGAUAGGAGCUCCUGCUGCAUGGUGGGGGUUGGAAAGUUUCGGCGGUUGGGGAUGGACUCGCGGCUUAUCAGCUUGUUGGUGGGGUAGUGGCUUACCAAGGCUUUGACGGGUAGCCGGCCUGAGAGGGUGACCGGCCACAUUGGGACUGAGAUACGGCCCAGACUCCUACGGGAGGCAGCAGUGGGGAAUAUUGCACAAUGGGCGGAAGCCUGAUGCAGCAACGCCGCGUGCGGGAUGACGGCCUUCGGGUUGUAAACCGCUUUCGCCUGUGACGAAGCGUGAGUGACGGUAAUGGGUAAAGAAGCACCGGCUAACUACGUGCCAGCAGCCGCGGUGAUACGUAGGGUGCGAGCGUUGUCCGGAUUUAUUGGGCGUAAAGGGCUCGUAGGUGGUUGAUCGCGUCGGAAGUGUAAUCUUGGGGCUUAACCCUGAGCGUGCUUUCGAUACGGGUUGACUUGAGGAAGGUAGGGGAGAAUGGAAUUCCUGGUGGAGCGGUGGAAUGCGCAGAUAUCAGGAGGAACACCAGUGGCGAAGGCGGUUCUCUGGGCCUUUCCUGACGCUGAGGAGCGAAAGCGUGGGGAGCGAACAGGCUUAGAUACCCUGGUAGUCCACGCUGUAAACGGUGGGUACUAGGUGUGGGGUCCAUUCCACGGGUUCCGUGCCGUAGCUAACGCUUUAAGUACCCCGCCUGGGGAGUACGGCCGCAAGGCUAAAACUCAAAGGAAUUGACGGGGCCCCGCACAAGCGGCGGAGCAUGCGGAUUAAUUCGAUGCAACGCGUAGAACCUUACCUGGGUUUGACAUGGAUCGGGAGUGCUCAGAGAUGGGUGUGCCUCUUUUGGGGUCGGUUCACAGGUGGUGCAUGGCUGUCGUCAGCUCGUGUCGUGAGAUGUUGGGUUAAGUCCCGCAACGAGCGCAACCCUUGUUCACUGUUGCCAGCACGUUAUGGUGGGGACUCAGUGGAGACCGCCGGGGCCAACUCGGAGGAAGGUGGGGAUGACGUCAAGUCAUCAUGCCCCUUAUGUCCAGGGCUUCACGCAUGCUACAAUGGCUGGUACAGAGAGUGGCGAGCCUGUGAGGGUGAGCGAAUCUCGGAAAGCCGGUCUCAGUUCGGAUUGGGGUCUGCAACUCGACCUCAUGAAGUCGGAGUCGCUAGUAAUCGCAGAUCAGCAACGCUGCGGUGAAUACGUUCCCGGG
rnacentral:rRNA from 1 species